rnacentral:rRNA from 1 species
CUAAGUAUAAGCAAUUAUACCGUGAAACUGCGAAUGGCUCAUUAUAUCAGUUAUCGUUUAUUUGAUAGUACCUUACUACUUGGAUACCCGUGGUAAUUCUAGAGCUAAUACAUGCAAAAAACCCCGACUUCGGGAGGGGUGUAUUUAUUAGAUAAAAAACCAAUGCCCUCCGGGGCUCUUUGGUGAUUCAUGAUAACUUAACGGAUCGCAUGGCCUUGCGCCGGCGACGGUUCAUUCAAAUUUCUGCCCUAUCAACUUUCGAUGGUAAGGUAUUGGCUUACCAUGGUUUCAACGGGUAACGGAUUUUUAGGGAAAGAUCCCGGAGAGGGGGCCUGAGAAACGGCCACCACAUCCAAGGAAGGCAGCAGGCGCGCAAAUUACCCAAUCCCGACACGGGGAGGUAGUGACAAUAAAUACUGAUACAGGGCUCUUUUGGGUCUUGUAAUCGGAAUGAGUACAAUUUAAAUACCUUAACGAGGAACAAUUGGAGGGCAAGUCUGGUG